rnacentral:rRNA from 1 species
AGGGAAAGUGACGGUACCUGCAGAAAAAGCGCCGGCUAACUACGUGCCAGCAGCCGCGGUAAUACGUAGGGCGCCAGCGUUAUCCGGAAUUAUUGGGCGUAAAGAGCUCGUAGGCGGUUUGUCGCGUCUGCUGUGAAAUCCCGAGGCUCAACCUCGGGUCUGCAGUGGGUACGGGCAGACUAGAGUGCGGUAGGGGAGAUUGGAAUUCCUGGUGUAGCGGUGGAAUGCGCAGAUAUCAGGAGGAACACCGAUGGCGAAGGCAGAUCUCUGGGCCGUUACUGACGCUGAGGAGCGAAAGGGUGGGGAGCAAACAGGCUUAGAUACCCUGGUAGUCCACCCCGUAAACGUUGGGAACUAGUUGUGGGGUCCAUUCCACGGAUUCCGUGACGCAGCUAACGCAUUAAGUUCCCCGCCUGGGGAGUACGGCCGCAAGGCUAAAACUCAAAGGAAUUGACGGGGACCCGCACAAGCGGCGGAGCAUGCGGAUUAAUUCGAUGCAACGCGAAGAACCUUACCAAGGCUUGACAUACACGAGAACGGGCCAGAAAUGGUCAACUCUUUGGACACUCGUGAACAGGUGGUGCAUGGUUGUCGUCAGCUCGUGUCGUGAGAUGUUGGGUUAAGUCCCGCAACGAGCGCAACCCUCGUUCUAUGUUGCCAGCACGUAAUGGUGGGAACUCAUGGGAUACUGCCGGGGUCAACUCGGAGGAAGGUGGGGAUGACGUCAAAUCAUCAUGCCCCUUAUGUCUUGGGCUUCACGCAUGCUACAAUGGCCGGUACAAAGGGCUGCAAUACCGCGAGGUGGAGCGAAUCCCAAAAAGCCGGUCCCAGUUCGGAUUGAGGUCUGCAACUCGACCUCAUGAAGUCGGAGUCGCUAGUAAUCGCAGAUCAGCAACGCUGCGGUGAAUACGUUCCCGGGUCUUGUACACACCGCCCGUCAAGUCAUGAAAGUCGGUAACACCUGAAGCCGGUGGCCCAACCCUUGUGGAGGGAGCCGUCGAAGGUGGGAUCGGUAAUUAGGACUAAGUC